rnacentral:lncRNA from 1 species
UUUUUUAGACAAAUUGUAGUUGAUGGGGUUGAGGUUAUUAAAUGUUUAUAUUGGUAUUGACCGGAAUAAGUGGUCCACUUAGCAACUGGAAAAAGUGCCUUCCAAAUCCUAUAGCAACAAGUAUUAAAGUAGUUUGACACGAAGUGAGAAAUUAUAGAAUUAUGAAGAACUAGGAUAAUGAAAUUAUAUGGAAGCUAACAUCUACAGGUAAGUACACUAUAGCAAGUGCUUGAAAGGCAAUUAGAACAUCUAGUAAUAGAGUAACUUGGUACAAGCUUAUUUAAGGAAGAUUUUUUCUCUUGAGACAUAGUUUUAUUCCCUGGCUUGCUCUGCAAAAUAAGCUUGUUGUUAAAUGCAGACUAAAGAAGUAAAACUUGUACAGGAUGAACAGUGCCCUUUUUUAUUAUAAUGCACAGGAAUACAAACUAUUUGUUUUUUAAUGUACCUUCUCUAGUAGGGUUUGAAGGGUUAUAUUGCAAAAAUGUGUCAUUUUUAGAGUUGAGUUGGGUUGGGUUGGAGGAGGAAAAUGAGCUAGUUUACAAGGAAAACUAGUGGUAAAAGUGGGUUAGUAGCUUGUAAAAGAAUGACGUGUAGUGCCACUAAUUUAUCAUUUGAAUGGAGCAAAGGAGUUUUUUUUUUUAACAAAUUGUAGUUGAUGGGGUUGAGGUUAUUAAAUGUUCAUACUGGUAUUGACUGGAACAAGUGGUUCAGCAACUAGAACAAGUGGUCUAGCAACUGGAACAAGUGCCUACCAAAUCCUAUAGAUGCAAGUAUUGAAGUAGUUUGACAGGAAGUGAGAAAUUAUAAAAUUAUGGAGAACUAGAAUAAUGAAAUUAUAUGGAAGCUAACAUCUACAGGUCAGUACACCAUAGCAAGUGCUUGAAAGGCAAUUAGAACAUCUAGUAGUAGAGUAACUUAAUACAAGCUUAUUUAAGGAAGAUUUUUUAUCUUGAGACAGUUUUAUUCCGUGGCUUGCUCUGCAAAAUAAGCUUGUUGUUAAAUGCAGAUUAAAGAAAUAAAACUUGUAGAUGAUGAACAAUGCCCUUUUUAUCAUAAUGCACAGGAAUCUGCAGAGUAUUUGUUUUUUAAUGUACCUUCUCUAGUAAAAUUUGAAAGGUUAUGUUGCAAAAAUAUACCAUUUUUAGAGUUUGGUCGGGUUGAAGGAGAAAACUGAGCUAGUUUACAAGGAAAACUAGUAGUAAAAGUGAGUUGGUAGCUUGUAGAAGAAUGACAUUUAAUGCCACUAUUUAUAUCAUUUGGAUGGAGCGAAAUGGAUUUUUUUUUAUAAACAAAUUGUAGGUGAUGGGGUUGAGGUUAUUAAAUGUUCAUACUGGUAUUGACUAGAACAAGUCGUCCAGCAACUGAGCUAUGGGUUGAAUUACUUUUAGGCUUAGUUGUUGCUAUAUGUGGGAUGAUGGAGAUGUUGGUUUGCUUCCUUGGGGAUGCUUUGAUGUAGCAGAGCUAUAAUACAGUUUGGGGUGGCUGCUGUAGGUGAUAGGUGUGUAUUUCAGUUAAUAUUAAUGACUUUGUUUGUUGGGAGUGUCUGCAUUUUUUUUUUUCAAGGUUGGGGUGUGCAAUGGAUUUGCUCUUGUAUCGCACAAAAUUGCUACUUAAAAAUAGUUGCUGCUGCAGAUUUGCUCUGAUGUGAUCUGUAGAUGUUGAUUCAUUAUUGGUAUUGUUGGGUGGUGCAAAAUAGAAUUGUUAUUGUGCUGCAAAAAAUGGAUGCUGCAGCAGAUUGCCUUUGUUGUAGUGUUUGGAUAUUGGUUCAUUACUGCUAUGGUUUGUACUUGUGCUAAAUAUGUUGGUUUUAGCAGCUGAAUUGAGUAGGCAAUGUUAAUUGUAAUUGGGGUUGAUUACUGCGUUAUGAAUAUCAAAUUAUUUAAAAGUAACCUAAAAAUAAAAAUAAAAAUCAUCAAAAUACAUUUUCGUGAAUACACGGAAGUUUGUUUGCUCAAUUAGAC